rnacentral:lncRNA from 1 species
GCCAUUUCCGGAUCCGGUGGCGAUAGCUGCCGGGUUAGUUAAGAGCCGCGAUGCACUGGCGCGUGAUUUGAGUUAUGGCGCGCGUAUCGCCGGGGAUGUUGGGGCGCAGCUCGAGGCAGAAGGGCGAGGCAGAGGGCGUGCGCCCUCUGUGCCUGCGCCGCCUGCCAUUGACUUCUCGGCUGAGAGCUCGGACCCCAAGCGUGAUGGAAAAGAAGAGGUGUCAGAGGAAGACUCUCCCACCCGGUUCAGAGUUACUCUGAUUUGGAAAAUGACGCUCAGCGCACGGCUCCUGGAGUCGUCUCCCAGGAGCCGAAACCGAAGGAUCGAAGCUAACGGGAAAAAAUAACGGCUUUGGGUUACAGUUACCAAGAGCUGCCCACAAAUAGGUCAAUUCAUUUAAUUCUCGUGUAACCUUGCAAGGUUGGGUGAAGUGGGAUCUUUACAAAUGAAGAACUGAGACAGGUUAAAUAAUUCGUUUAAAAAUCAUAGCUACUAGUGGUGGGACUCCGUGUAAACAAACUGGAUACGAUGUUACUUAGCGAGUUAUUUGUAAUAUCGGAGACGCCUGUUUCUCCCUUAGCUGGAGGCAUGGCCAAAUUAUGGACUAUCAAGUUACAAAAUACUAUGUUACACUAAACACGGAAGUUGCCCAGGACAUAGUUCGGAGUGGAAAACAAAAUGCAAGUUUUGCAGAAAAUGUGUUUUUAGCCAUUGUUUUUGCAAAACCAAACCCUUUCAAAACAAUGCUGUUCUAUUGUAGUACACACUUAUCUAUGUAAUUGAAUAAAGACUGGAGUAAUAUACACUAAACCGACAGCUGUGUAGGGGAGGGAAGGGGGAGGCAUAGGGAUUUAAGAGAGUUAUGGUAGAACAGAACUUUAUUCUUACAAAGUUUAGUAAUUUGAGAAAAAAAUCUGCCUGAUGAUGUGAGGAUACAAGGGUUAUGAUAAUAUGGACAUAAAAAUAGAGGUUCUCAGGGGCCUCCAAAAGGACAUCAAAAGUCAUUUUUAACAGUGCAGUAUUUCGUUAGUCUCACGGAGCUUUGAAAAAAAAGAAAGUUACCUCAAAACUGCCCUUGUUCUACAUUACAUGGCUUAUAUUGGAUGGAAACUAAGAGGCGUUAAGUAAAAUUAGAUAUCUUUUCAAAUAUGCACCCUGAUAUUUUCAGUUGAAAUAUUUUAUAGCUUAACUUUAUAAAAUGGUGAUUAUUAUUUAUAUAGUUAUUCAUUUUUAAUAUUAACAACUCACUGAAAUCAUAUAUCUGACUAGCCCUAUAUAAAAAUUGUUAAAAACACUUAACAUCUCUUGCAUGUUGCACUGGGGUUGACACCCCACAACUUAAAAGAGAGAAGUCCAGGGACUGAAAUGG